CCUACGGGUGGCAGCAGUGGGGAAUAUUGCACAAUGGGGGAAACCCUGAUGCAGCGACGCCGCGUGAGCGAUGAAGUAUUUCGGUAUGUAAAGCUCUAUCAGCAGGGAAGAAAAUGACGGUACCUGACUAAGAAGCCCCGGCUAACUACGUGCCAGCAGCCGCGGUAAUACGUAGGGGGCAAGCGUUAUCCGGAUUUACUGGGUGUAAAGGGAGCGUAGAUGGGUUGUUAAGUCAGUUGUGAAAGGUCGGGCCCAACCCCGGGACUGCAUUGGAAACUGUCGAACUGGAGUACAGGAGAGGUAAGCGGAAUUCCUAGUGUAGCGGUGAAAUGCGUAGAUAUUAGGAGGAACACCAGUGGCGAAGGCGGCUUACUGGACUGUAACUGACGUUGAGGCUCGAAAGCGUGGGGAGCAAACAGGAUUAGAUACCCCAGUAGUC
rnacentral:rRNA from 1 species